AUUGAACGCUGGCGGCAGGCCUAACACAUGCAAGUCGAACGGUAACAGGAAGCAGCUUGCUGCUUUGCUGACGAGUGGCGGACGGGUGAGUAAUGUCUGGGAAACUGCCUGAUGGAGGGGGAUAACUACUGGAAACGGUAGCGAAUACCGCAUAAUGUCGCAAGACCAAAGAGGGGGACCUUCGGGCCUCUUGCCAUCGGAUGUGCCCAGAUGGGAUUAGCUAGUAGGUGGGGUAAAGGCUCACCUAGGCGACGAUCCCUAGCUGGUCUGAGAGGAUGACCAGCCACACUGGAACUGAGACACGGUCCAGACUCCUACGGGAGGCAGCAGUGGGGAAUAUUGCACAAUGGGCGCAAGCCUGAUGCAGCCAUGCCGCGUGUAUGAAGAAGGCCUUCGGGUUGUAAAGUACUUUCAGCGGGGAGGAAGGGAGUAAAGUUAAUACCUUUGCUCAUUGACGUUACCCGCAGAAGAAGCACCGGCUAACUCCGUG
rnacentral:rRNA from 1 species